CCCUUAGAUGUUCUGGGCCGCACGCGCGCUACACUGAUGCAUUCAACGAGUCUAAAACCUGCUCUGAUAGGGGUGGGUAAUCUUUUGAAUGUGCAUCGUGAUUGGGAUAGAUGAUUGCAAUUUUUCAUCUUCAACGAGGAAUGCCUAGUAAACGCAAGUCAUCAGCUUGCAUUGAUUACGUCCCUGUCCUUUGUACACACCGCCCGUCGCUCCUACCGAUUGAAUGAUCCGAUGAAUAUCAUGGAUUGAGGAUGCAAGCAGGUUCGCCUGUCUUCAUCUUCGAGAAGUGAAGUAAAUCUUAUCAUUUAGAGGAAGGAGAAGUCGUAACA
rnacentral:rRNA from 1 species